GACGAACGCUGGCGGCGUGCUUAACACAUGCAAGUCGAACGGAAAGGCCCUGCUUUUGUGGGGUGCUCGAGUGGCGAACGGGUGAGUAACACGUGAGUAACCUGCCCUUGACUUUGGGAUAACUUCAGGAAACUGGGGCUAAUACCGGAUAGGAGCUCCUGCUGCAUGGUGGGGGUUGGAAAGUUUCGGCGGUUGGGGAUGGACUCGCGGCUUAUCAGCUUGUUGGUGAGGUAGUGGCUUACCAAGGCUUUGACGGGUAGCCGGCCUGAGAGGGUGACCGGCCACAUGGGGACUGAGAGACGGCCCAGACUCCUACGGGAGGCAGCAGGGGGGAAUAUUGCACAAUGGGCGGAAGCCUGAUGCAGCAACGUCGCGUGCGGGAUGACGGCCUUCGGGUUGUAAACCGCUUUCGCCUGUGACGAAGCGUGAGUGACGGUAAUGGGUAAAGAAGCACCGGCUAACUACGUG
rnacentral:rRNA from 1 species